rnacentral:rRNA from 1 species
GAUGAACGCUGGCGGCGUGCUUAACACAUGCAAGUCGAACGGAAAGGCCCAAGCUUGCUUGGGUACUCGAGUGGCGAACGGGUGAGUAACACGUGGGUGAUCUGCCCUGCACUUCGGGAUAAGCCUGGGAAACUGGGUCUAAUACCGGAUAGGACCACAUUUUGGAUGGUGUGGUGGAAAGUUUUUCGGUGUGGGAUGAGCUCGCGGCCUAUCAGCUUGUUGGCGGGGUAAUGGCCUACCAAGGCGUCGACGGGUAGCCGGCCUGAGAGGGUGUACGGCCACAUUGGGACUGAGAUACGGCCCAGACUCCUACGGGAGGCAGCAGUGGGGAAUAUUGCACAAUGGGCGCAAGCCUGAUGCAGCGACGCCGCGUGGGGGAUGACGGCCUUCGGGUUGUAAACUCCUUUCGCUAGGGACGAAGCGUUAUGUGACGGUACCUGGAGAAGAAGCACCGGCUAACUACGUG